CUCAUGAUCUGGCCUCAAAUCAGGUAGGGCUACCCGCUGAACUUAAGCAUAUCAAUAAGCGGAGGAAAAGAAACUAACUAGGAUUCCCUUAGUAACGGCGAGUGAACCGGGAUGAGCUCAAAUUUGAAAUCUGGCGUCUUUCAGGCGUCCGAGUUGUAAUCUAUAGAGGCGUUUUCCGCGCCGGACCGCGUCCAAGUCUCUUGGAAUAGAGUAUCAAAGAGGGUGACAAUCCCGUACUUGACGCGACAACCGGUGCUCUGUGAUACGUUCUCAACGAGUCGAGUUGUUUGGGAAUGCAGCUCUAAAUGGGUGGUAAAUUCCAUCUAAGGCUAAAUAUUGGCGAGAGACCGAUAGCGAACAAGUACCGUGAGGGAAAGAUGAAAAGCACUUUGGAAAGAGAGUUAAACAGCACGUGAAAUUGUUAAAAGGGAAACGAUUGAAGUCAGUCGUGUGAAAGGUAUUCAGCCGUCUCUGGCGGUGUAUUUGCCUUUCACGGGUCAACAUCAGUUUAGUCCGGUAGAAAAAGGCUGGAGGAAGGUGGCACCCUCGGGUGUGUUAUAGCCUCCUGUCAUAUGUGCCGGAUUAGACUGAGGAACGCAGCUUGCAGCAAUGCCGGGGUUCGCCCACGUACAAG
rnacentral:sRNA from 1 species